rnacentral:rRNA from 1 species
ACUCCUACGGGAGGCAGCAGUGGGGAAUAUUGGACAAUGGGCGAAAGCCUGAUCCAGCCAUGCCGCGUGUGUGAAGAAGGUCUUCGGAUUGUAAAGCACUUUAAGUUGGGAGGAAGGGUUGUAGAUUAAUACUCUGCAAUUUUGACGUUACCGACAGAAUAAGCACCGGCUAACUCUGUGCCAGCAGCCGCGGUAAUACAGAGGGUGCAAGCGUUAAUCGGAAUUACUGGGCGUAAAGCGCGCGUAGGUGGUUAGUUAAGUUGGAUGUGAAAUCCCCGGGGCUCAACCUGGGAACUGCAUUCAAAACUGACUGACUAGAGUAUGGUAGAGGGUGGUGGAAUUUCCUGUGUAGCGGUGAAAUGCGUAGAUAUAGGAAGGAACACCAGUGGCGAAGGCGACCACCUGGACUGAUACUGACACUGAGGUGCGAAAGCGUGGGGAGCAAAC